rfam:Schistosoma haematobium scaffold770_23, whole genome shotgun sequence.
AUCCAGCUGACGAGUCCCAAAUGGGGCUAAACGCACGUCCUCGAU